rnacentral:rRNA from 1 species
UUUGAAGAGAGAGUUAAAGAGGACGUGAAACCGAUAAGAUUGAAACGAAUAGAGCUGACGUAUCUAGCUUGUAUUCAGCCGUUCUUAUGCGUAGGCCGCGUUGGCUAUUCCUGUCUUUUGGAUAGUUAGCGUGUGCUUUGCGUGUUUGGGCGGUGCAUUUACAAGUGAAGUGCGCUGAGAAGUAUACCUUAGCGGUUGGAACUCGGCUUUGAGGACUCUCUUCGGAGAGAAACCCGGGCUGAGGAAAAAUUGUUUAAGGUGUACGUUUGUUAGCGUGGGCUUAACACGAGCUGGCUAGCCGUUGAGCUUGUUGUAGGAGGCGGUCGCAUGCGAACGUCCCGGCUUCAGGUUUGGCGGUUGGUUUGGCUACCACGCUUGUUCUCGGUGUAAAAGUCGGUCAUCUAUUCGACCCGUCUUGAAACACGGACCAAGGAGUUUAGCAAAUAUGCGAGUCAUUGAGUGUUAAAACUCAAAGGCGCAAUGAAAGUGAAGCUUUUUUAAAGUUGAUAUGCGAUCUUGAUCAUGUUAGUGGUUGAGCGCAGCAUAGCCCCAUCCUGAUUGCUUGCAAUGGGGUGGAGGUAGAGCAUAUUUGCUGAGACCCGAAAGAUGGUGAACUAUGCCUGAGCAGGACGAAGCCAGAGGAAACUCUGGUGGAAGUC